GACUAAGACAUGCUAGUCGAGCGUCUUCAGGCUAUGUUGAGGACGCGGCGUACGGCUCAGUAACACGUGGCCAACCUACCCUUAGGACGGAGACAACCCCGGGAAACUGGGGCUAAUCCCCGAUAGGUGAGGAGGCCUGGAAUGGUCUCUCACCCAAAGGACGUUGAAGCCAUGCUUUUCAGCGUUGCCUAAGGAUGGAGCCGCGGCCGAUCAGGUUGUUGGUGAGGUAAUGGCUCACCAAGCCUAUAACCGGUACGGGCCAUGAGAGUGGGAGCCCGGAGAUGGGCACUGAGACAAGGGCCCAGGCCCUACGGGGCGCAGCAGUUGCGAAACCUCCACAAUGCACGAAAGUGCGAUGGGGCUAACCCGAGUGCCGUCCGCUGAGGAGGGCUUUUCUCCGCUGUAAGGAGGCGGAGGAAUAAGGAGAGGGCAAGACUGGUGUCAGCCGCCGCGGUAAUACCAGCUCUCCGAGUGGUAGGGACGAUUAUUGGGUCUAAAGCGUUCGUAGCCGGCUUGGCAAGUCUCUCGUUAAAUCCAGUGACCUAAUCGCUGGGCUGCGGGAGAUACUGUCAGGCUUGGGAGCGGAAGAGGUCGACGGUAUUCUCGGGGUAGGGGUGAAAUCCUGUAAUCUCGGGAGGA
rnacentral:rRNA from 1 species